rnacentral:pre_miRNA from 1 species
UCAUCUGAUCCUAAUUUCUGGGACCCUAUCAGUAUUGUCUCUGCUGUCCACUGUGUUCGGAGUAGUGCAAUAUUGCUUAUAGGGUUUCAGUCUUUAGGUGUU